rnacentral:rRNA from 1 species
UACGUGGGGGCAAGCGUUGUCCGGAUUUAUUGGGCGUAAAGAGCGUGUAGGCGGCCAGACAGGUCCGUUGUGAAAACUAGAGGCUUAACCUCUAGACGUCGAUGGAAACCGUUUGGCUAGAGUCCGGAAGAGGAGAAUGGAAUUCCUGGUGUAGCGGUGAAAUGCGCAGAUAUCAGGAAGAACACCCGUGGCUAAGGCGGUUCUCUAGUACGGUACUGACGCUGAGACGCGAAAGCGUGGGGAGCGAACAGG